UUCUAUGAGUUGUUUAGAUUGUUGGGUUGUGUGUAUUUUUGUAGGGUUGUUGACAUGGAGCUCCUUGAGGUCCAAUCCAGGUUCUUACUUAGGUAAAAGCAGCUGCUAGUUCAUGGAUCCCACUGUGUUAUUUCCAAAUAUAAGAGAAUGGAGAUAUAAUGGUGGUUUGCAUGACCAAGGAGCUGCAUUCUUGCCUUGUGAGAUUCCUUGUUUGGAUUGAAGGGAGCUCUAUGUGUUCUCCCCUUCCAAGCUUAUUUUCUCUCUCAUUUAUUUAGCCCUUGAUCUUUUCAUUUUUUGAA
rnacentral:pre_miRNA from 1 species